rnacentral:rRNA from 1 species
UGGGUAACCUGCCCAAGAGAUCGGGAUAACACCUGGAAACAGAUGCUAAUACCGGAUAACAACAGAUGAUGCCUAUCAACUGUUUAAAAGAUGGUUCUGCUAUCACUCUUGGAUGGACCUGCGGUUCAUUAGCUAGUUGGUAGGGUAACGGCCUACCAAGGCGAUGAUGCAUAGCCGAGUUGAGAGACUGAUCGGCCACAUUGGUACUUAGACACGGCCCAAACUCCUACGGGAGGCAGCAGUC